GGAGAGAUGCCCGAGCGGCUGAAGGGGCGCGACUGGAAAUCGCGUGAAUGCCCACAAGGUGUUCCGAGGGUUCGAAUCCCUCUCUCUCCGCCA
rnacentral:tRNA from 1 species